rnacentral:rRNA from 2 species
GGUUAAGCGACUAAGCGUACACGGUGGAUGCCCUGGCAGUCAGAGGCGAUGAAGGACGUGCUAAUCUGCGAUAAGCGUCGGUAAGGUGAUAUGAACCGUUAUAACCGGCGAUUUCCGAAUGGGGAAACCCAGUGUGAUUCGUCACACUAUCAUUAACUGAAUCCAUAGGUUAAUGAGGCGAACCGGGGGAACUGAAACAUCUAAGUACCCCGAGGAAAAGAAAUCAACCGAGAUUCCCCCAGUAGCGGCGAGCGAACGGGGAGGAGCCCAGAGCCUGAAUCAGUGUGUGUGUUAGUGGAAGCGUCUGGAAAGGCGCGCGAUACAGGGUGACAGCCCCGUACACAAAAAUGCACAUGCUGUGAGCUCGAUGAGUAGGGCGGGACACGUGGUAUCCUGUCUGAAUAUGGGGGGACCAUCCUCCAAGGCUAAAUACUCCUGACUGACCGAUAGUGAACCAGUACCGUGAGGGAAAGGCGAAAAGAACCCCGGCGAGGGGAGUGAAAAAGAACCUGAAACCGUGUACGUACAAGCAGUGGGAGCACGCUUAGGCGUGUGACUGCGUACCUUUUGUAUAAUGGGUCAGCGACUUAUAUUCUGUAGCAAGGUUAACCGAAUAGGGGAGCCGAAGGGAAACCGAGUCUUAACUGGGCGUUAAGUUGCAGGGUAUAGACCCGAAACCCGGUGAUCUAGCCAUGGGCAGGUUGAAGGUUGGGUAACACUAACUGGAGGACCGAACCGACUAAUGUUGAAAAAUUAGCGGAUGACUUGUGGCUGGGGGUGAAAGGCCAAUCAAACCGGGAGAUAGCUGGUUCUCCCCGAAAGCUAUUUAGGUAGCGCCUCGUGAAUUCAUCUCCGGGGGUAGAGCACUGUUUCGGCAAGGGGGUCAUCCCGACUUACCAACCCGAUGCAAACUGCGAAUACCGGAGAAUGUUAUCACGGGAGACACACGGCGGGUGCUAACGUCCGUCGUGAAGAGGGAAACAACCCAGACCGCCAGCUAAGGUCCCAAAGUCAUGGUUAAGUGGGAAACGAUGUGGGAAGGCCCAGACAGCCAGGAUGUUGGCUUAGAAGCAGCCAUCAUUUAAAGAAAGCGUAAUAGCUCACUGGUCGAGUCGGCCUGCGCGGAAGAUGUAACGGGGCUAAACCAUGCACCGAAGCUGCGGCAGCGACGCUGAUGCGUUGUUGGGUAGGGGAGCGUUCUGUAAGCCUGUGAAGGUGUGCUGUGAGGCAUGCUGGAGGUAUCAGAAGUGCGAAUGCUGACAUAAGUAACGAUAAAGCGGGUGAAAAGCCCGCUCGCCGGAAGACCAAGGGUUCCUGUCCAACGUUAAUCGGGGCAGGGUGAGUCGACCCCUAAGGCGAGGCCGAAAGGCGUAGUCGAUGGGAAACAGGUUAAUAUUCCUGUACUUGGUGUUACUGCGAAGGGGGGACGGAGAAGGCUAUGUUGGCCGGGCGACGGUUGUCCCGGUUUAAGCGUGUAGGCUGGUUUUCCAGGCAAAUCCGGAAAACUAAGGCUGAGGCGUGAUGACGAGGCACUACGGUGCUGAAGCAACAAAUGCCCUGCUUCCAGGAAAAGCCUCUAAGCAUCAGGUAACAUCAAAUCGUACCCCAAACCGACACAGGUGGUCAGGUAGAGAAUACCAAGGCGCUUGAGAGAACUCGGGUGAAGGAACUAGGCAAAAUGGUGCCGUAACUUCGGGAGAAGGCACGCUGAUAUGUAGGUGAAGUCCCUCGCGGAUGGAGCUGAAAUCAGUCGAAGAUACCAGCUGGCUGCAACUGUUUAUUAAAAACACAGCACUGUGCAAACACGAAAGUGGACGUAUACGGUGUGACGCCUGCCCGGUGCCGGAAGGUUAAUUGAUGGGGUCAGCGCAAGCGAAGCUCUUGAUCGAAGCCCCGGUAAACGGCGGCCGUAACUAUAACGGUCCUAAGGUAGCGAAAUUCCUUGUCGGGUAAGUUCCGACCUGCACGAAUGGCGUAAUGAUGGCCAGGCUGUCUCCACCCGAGACUCAGUGAAAUUGAACUCGCUGUGAAGAUGCAGUGUACCCGCGGCAAGACGGAAAGACCCCGUGAACCUUUACUAUAGCUUGACACUGAACAUUGAGCCUUGAUGUGUAGGAUAGGUGGGAGGCUUUGAAGUGUGGACGCCAGUCUGCAUGGAGCCGACCUUGAAAUACCACCCUUUAAUGUUUGAUGUUCUAACGUUGACCCGUAAUCCGGGUUGCGGACAGUGUCUGGUGGGUAGUUUGACUGGGGCGGUCUCCUCCUAAAGAGUAACGGAGGAGCACGAAGGUUGGCUAAUCCUGGUCGGACAUCAGGAGGUUAGUGCAAUGGCAUAAGCCAGCUUGACUGCGAGCGUGACGGCGCGAGCAGGUGCGAAAGCAGGUCAUAGUGAUCCGGUGGUUCUGAAUGGAAGGGCCAUCGCUCAACGGAUAAAAGGUACUCCGGGGAUAACAGGCUGAUACCGCCCAAGAGUUCAUAUCGACGGCGGUGUUUGGCACCUCGAUGUCGGCUCAUCACAUCCUGGGGCUGAAGUAGGUCCCAAGGGUAUGGCUGUUCGCCAUUUAAAGUGGUACGCGAGCUGGGUUUAGAACGUCGUGAGACAGUUCGGUCCCUAUCUGCCGUGGGCGCUGGAGAACUGAGGGGGGCUGCUCCUAGUACGAGAGGACCGGAGUGGACGCAUCACUGGUGUUCGGGUUGUCAUGCCAAUGGCACUGCCCGGUAGCUAAAUGCGGAAGAGAUAAGUGCUGAAAGCAUCUAAGCACGAAACUUGCCCCGAGAUGAGUUCUCCCUGACUCCUUGAGAGUCCUGAAGGAACGUUGAAGACGACGACGUUGAUAGGCCGGGUGUGUAAGCGCAGCGAUGCGUUGAGCUAACCGGUACUAAUGAACCGUGAGGCUUAACCUU